AUGGGUGCCUUCGCCGACCUCCCCAUCACGCUCGCCCCCGACAUGGGCACCAACGCCUACUUCACAUACACUGUAGUCGGCUUCCAUGGCUCGGGCACGCUCUCCUACCGCAAGGCACUCGUCGUGGUCUUCAUCGAGGGCCUCAUGUUUAUCCUCAUCUUCGUCAUCGGGCUACGGUCCAAGCUCGCCCAAUUGAUCCUCAAACCUGUGUGGAUCAUGUCAUCUGCGGGGAUCAGGUUGUUUCUGGGGUUCAUCAAGAUGCAGAGCAACCAACGAUUCUGGCUCGUCGGCUUCAGCAUGUCCACACUGGUCACGCUCAGCGCAUGCCCCACGUCGCGGCGCACGUCGAUGGCGCGGUGGUUACGUUCACCAACAACGGCGUACUUUGCCUGUUCGGCUGGAUGA
rnacentral:rRNA from 1 species